GGGAAAAUUCCAAAGAAUUUAGAGACUUACCUGUCAGUCUCUUCAUUUACCUGUCAGAACACUCUGAUUGGAUGGCUUAAACCCACCAAUCAGAGUGCUCUGAGCCUAAUUGUAGUGCUCAGUCUGCGAAAAGCCCUCGCCGGGUGAAGAAGGAUUAUUUUUUUUGCACUUGUUUUUUUUUUUUUAAUUGCAUCGGUUAUUAUGGAUUUUUAUUUGGCCUUUUUUGGGGCUGAAAAAAGAAGAUCUUAGGAGAAAGAAAACAUUGAAUGGUAAGUUUAAUUUUAUUUUUACAGGUAUUUAGUUAAAGGUACCCCCUCAUUAUUUUUAGGGUGAGGGGGGUAGGUAGGAGUUUAUUUUUUUUGGGAGGGGGUGACUAGGGGCUUGGGGCCAGGGGGGAGAUCAUUAGGUCCCCCCCAAUUUGUAUUUAGGGCCCCCACCCACCGCUCAGGGGUGGGGGCCAGUGGGGAGGACAUUAGGUCCCCCCUUAUUCUAGUUUAGGGCCCCCACCCACC